rnacentral:rRNA from 1 species
AUUGAACGCUGGCGGCAUGCCUUACACAUGCAAGUCGAACGGUAACAGGCCGCAAGGUGCUGACGAGUGGCGAACGGGUGAGUAAUGCAUCGGAACGUGCCCAGUCGUGGGGGAUAACUGCUCGAAAGAGCAGCUAAUACCGCAUACGACCUGAGGGUGAAAGCGGGGGACCGUAAGGCCGCGCGCGAUUGGAGCGGCCGAUGUCAGAUUAGCUAGUUGGUGGGGUAAAGGCCUACCAAGGCAACGAUCUGUAGUUGGUCUGAGAGGACGACCAGCCACACUGGGACUGAGACACGGCCCAGACUCCUACGGGAGGCAGCAGUGGGGAAUUUUGGACAAUGGGCGGAAGCCUGAUCUAGCCAUGCCGCGUGUGUGAAGAAGGCCUUUUGGUUGUAAAGCACUUUAAGCGAGGAGGAGGCUACCUGGAUUAAUACUCUAGGAUAGUGGACGUUACUCGCAGAAUAAGCACCGGCUAACUCUGUGCCAGCCGCCGCAGUAACAC